rnacentral:lncRNA from 1 species
UUGAUAGAUGCACCGGCCACAUUCUUUAUAAUCUCAUCUGGCAUGCUGUUUGGAGCAGUUUUUAUUUCCAUUAUAAUGCUAUAAAUUGGUUUUCCAUUUUCUAAGGAUACGUGAUUGUUUGGAUGUCUAGUCUUAGCACCAGCAUGCUGCUCGAACUCAUAGGCACUGAGCACUCUAGAGUAACUGCACAUUGAACAACCACACAAAUAUCCACCGCUACUGAUAAUCCCUUCCAGCUCAACCUUUCCAGCAUCAGAAAAUGCUUUAAUCUGUUUGGAAACUAAUACGUGGCUUUAGUGUUUCCUCCAACAGUACUGUCUCUUCCAUUUGAUAAAGUAGCUCUACACAGUUCCGAAACCUCCGUCUCUGAUUAUGUUUGUCUUGCUGAAAUUAUCGGUAGCUUUGAGGAUAUCAACCAAAGUUAAUUUCAAAAGAGGCUGCUCGAACAUUGCCACGUUGAUACUCAAAGGUUCCUUUGAUUUUCUACUGCUCAAGAAGUAAAGAUUUUGAUCCAAAUAACUAUUCAGUUUGGUAUCGCCGAGUUCCUCGGGAUCAUGUUGCUUCCUGCUAACCCAUCAGACACUGUAAUUCACUUAGUUCCACCAAUUUGCCAUUGAGUUGAUUGUUUCCAAGGUCCAAUGUAGUGAGUGAAACACAAUCACCGAGCUCCAUUGGAAUGUUUCCAAUAAGCAUGUUUCCAUUCAAAUUAAAAAACUGAAAGACUUUGAAGACUUCCGAUUUCCUUCGGGAUAGUACCUUUGACACGGUUAUUGCUAAGAACAAGCCUUUGUAGAAUUACAGCACUCCCAAUCUCCACAGGAAGUGAACCCUCCAAGUGGUUAUUUGCAGCGGAAAACUCCAUCAGAGUUGAUAAGUUCCACAAACUAGAAGGAAUCUUUCCACUGAAAUUGUUGUUGUCCAAGUCCAACACCAUGAAAGGAAGCUCGGAAAGGUACUUCGGAAUAGAACCAACAAUCUGAUUGUUCAUCAAAACCAACUGAGUAAGGUUCUUACAAUUAACAAAAGCCUUCUCAAUUGUUCCACUAAGAUAGUCAUCAUCAAACGGAAUAGAACCAACAAUCUGAUUGUUCAUCAAAACCAACUGAGUAAGGUUCUUACAAUUAACAAAAGCCUUCUCAAUUGUUCCACUAAGAUAGUCAUCAUCAAGAUCCAUCUCCAAAAGUGAAGCAACAUUACAAAGCUCCUCAGGUAUAUGACCUGUCAACAAGUUGCUACUCAAACUGAGAUGCUCCAUCACAGAACAAUUCCCAAGCUCCGGCGGAAUCACACCCGAAAAUCGAUUCGCCGAAAGCAAACGAGAAUCAACAUUAGUCCAUUUUCCAAGCCAAGAAGGCAAAGGUCCAUGGGGAAGAUUCUUUUUCAGCUGAGAAAGUUCUUAUAGGAAGCGCAGAAAGCUCUUGAGGUAGUAAACCCGGAAGUGAGUUGAAAGAAAGCAUCACAUAAGUUAAAUUUGAACAGUUUCCAAGCUCUGAUGGAACUGACCCAUUAAGCUCAGAAAAGACAAGGCUCAAAAUUUUCAGAUUUUUCAACUUCCCAAUAAACUUUGGGAUUGAACAUUUCAAAGGGUUAUAAGAAAGGUCAAGUUUAGUCAACGGUUUCAGGUUCUCCAUUUCUUCAAGUAAUGGACCUUCGAUCAAGCAAGAAGUGAAUGGAGAAGAAUGCAAACGAGUGAUUGAUGGGGAAAAAUUUCAGGGCCAAAAUCGGGGUAUGAUACAAAUGUUCAUAGCAACAAUUCUCAAGAAA